UUCCAGGUUACUUUCCUUACUAUCCGAGAGCCUAACUUAACUCACUUAGUAUGCUGUUACAAACACAAUCUAAAGGUUCUUUUCUAUUUCUCCUCCUUUUUCUUCCUACGUCUUUCUUUAUAUAUUAGGUAUCAAAUUGUGUACUUUUUGUCUAUCCCUUGAUUGACUUUGGGGAUAGUUAGUUUAAUUUUGCAUUUGCUUCGUAAUUAGCUGUUCUACCUUCUUUACUGUGGUUUUAUUGUGUCUGGUGACAGCUAUUCAACCUUAGGAACACUUCCAUCUAUAGCAGUCCCUCCAAAAUAGACUGUAGAGAUGGUUUGUGGGAAGUAAAUUCUCUUAGCUUUUGCUUAUCUGGAAAUUGUUUAAUCUCCCCUUCAAAUUUAAAUGAUAAUCUUGCCGGAUAAAGUAAUCUUGGUUCCAGGCCCUUCUGCUUCAUGGCAUUAAAUACAUCAUGGCACUCCCUUCUGGCCUGUAAGGUUUCUGCUGAGAAGUCUGAUGUUAGCCUGAUGGGCUUUCCUUUGUUUGUGCUCCCAGAGGAGAUCUCCAGAGUUAGGUAUUCAGCAGUCCCAGGCCUCCACUCCCUUUCUGCUCCAUUUCUCUUCCUCCUGCUGGUGAGCUGGGGUGAGGGAAGGGCUUGGGUCCUGCCAGGCCACGGCUUUGGUACGUUACCCUGUUCUGUGAGGUUUAUUCAUUUCUCCAGGUGUACGCAGUUUGGCUCAGCCCUCUUUCCUGUUGCUCUUUCAGGUUUAGUCGUAUUAUUUAUAUUUUUAUAUUAAAUGCUGUUUUAGGAGGAAGCCUCUGUCUCACCUCUCAUGAGGCUUGUUUUUAGUGGUUAGUGUCCAUACAAUUUUGUGUUGUGAGACUUUUUUUCUGUGGUCAUGAAAGGAAAAAAAAUGUUCAAGUGGAGGCUGCCUCAGCCUGUUGUGUUGCAACAUUGUUCCAGGCACCAUUGGUGCUACAAUUUGGAAACAGCUUUCCAUCCUGCUUUCCUGGAACAUACAUAUCAGCCAUAGAACAUCCCCUCUUCAAAUCUUAUUGUUAUCAGAAUUCCUCUCUGGAAUAAAACUCCUUGGUAUCAUAGGGCUAGCCUUUGUUGGGGCAGCUUUUUUUAAGCCUGACAUCCGCUGUCAGGUCAUGGUGACAGCAGCACCUGUGCUAGAGAGAGUAGAAAGGCUUCCAUAUAAACCGUCAAGACCUAUAGCCUUCCAGACAUUUCUGUAUAUAAUAUUUAUGCCCUUGGAAAGGGAAGAAGGCACAAAAAUGGGUGUUGUAGCUCUUCUGAAAUCCUUUAUUGAGUCAGGUAGUCCCAUCAAGUGAGUUUCAUAGACCUUAUUUUUGGCAUUUUGAAAGCCCAGAAUUCUACAGCUUUUGAUAUCUUAAAUUGUAAAUACAAAUGUCACGCCAGAUAAUUUCCCGUCUUACUAUAACAGCUUAGAAGUCUUUGGCAUAAUUUGCUUUGUGAUGUGUGAUUCCAGUAGUUGAUAUGAAUGAGUUAGUUCAGUGAAUCCAAAAGAAAUUAGAGACUUUUUAUUUUAUCAGAUGAUUUCAGAUUACCACUAAAGGAGGAAUUGAUACAUAACAUAAAAUAAAACCCUAGUUCACAGUUGGUGGUGUACCAAAAUCAUUAAGGAACGUGAACUUCAAAAUACGUACUCUAUUAUACAUAAAAUAGCCAUUGUUCUGUGCCAAGGCUUGUAUUAAGAGACACUUGUCCUGUCUCUUAGUGAUACUCAUUUCUAGCUCUUUGACCAUUUUUUAGUAAUAGAGUCAUUUCUGCCUUGCUAUAUAGUUAUGUCCUCAAAUUCUUCAUUUCCAUGUCUACACUGUGGGUCAGAUAGGGUGCUCGUUACUGUGACUGUAAAGUUCUGCACCAAUGAAUGAGAUGUGGGUGAGUAAUAAGAAUUAGGCCAGUCUACUGUAAGGUACCAUAUAAAGAAUAUUUUCAAGAUGGAAAAAAAUACUGCAGAAAAACAACCAAGUCUGCUAAAUGCUUUACACAUACCAUUUCAUUUAAUCUCUUUAAAACAUAGGAACUACCUUGCAUGUGAGGAAACUAAGACACAGAGUGGUUAAUUCAUACAGGGAUCAGAGACAAGAUUAUUAAUUUCUAAUACAUACAGUAAUAUACAUUUUGCUUCUCCAUGAAAAGCCUUUUAUAAAAGAUGAAGGAGAUUAUGAAAAUAUAUAAAUGUGCAAUAUUUUUCUUUAGUGUGGCCUUGUGUUUUGGAACAGUUCCUGGACUCAAGGCCCAUUUUAAUGCCUGAAAAGGACUGCUAUCAAAUGGGUUAUUUUAUAUGGUAUUGCUAACCACUAAAGUUGUAAGGAAAGGGAAAUAGUUUUAUAGUUUCUUCCUCCCCCAGGUCAUAAUUUAGUUGUGGACAUCAGGAUGUUUUUCUUGGCUUAUCUCAUUCAUGUAGUUUUUCUUGAACAUCUGUUUCAUAAAUUACUGAGCUAUUUCCUUGAAAAGUUGCCAGUUUAAGUCACACUCAAUAGUGAUCAAAAGGUCGGUACCUUUUGAGAAAAAGAAUUAAAUGACAGGCUUUUGAGGGGCAGAAAUCCAAAUACCAUCCUGGUUUAAGUAUUUUCUGUUUUGGAUCAAUUCCUAUAUUUUUAGAGGCAUUGAAAUAAUUAUAUGUGGUUUCUAGUGUUUCCCAAAAGACUUCAUGUUGGAUUAGAACAUCUAAUGACUUUUUAUAUAAAAUGGGGUAUUUUAGUCACUGCUUCUAUAUGUCUUAUCUUUCACUGCUAAUUUAUGUAUACAUUCUAGUCUGGUACAUAGUUUGUACUAAAUGUGGAGUAACUAAAUGUUACCAUUAGUAACUAAAUGUGGAGUAUUUAUUUCAUUAAUGAUUAUUCAUAUAAUAUUUCUUGACUGGAUUCUAUGUAAACCAUACAAUAAUGAUUUUUUGUGGGGUUUGUUGGGGUUUUUCUGGGGGAAAAAUAGGACUCAUUACUUCUCACUACAUUUUAAAACAACUUUUUACUUAAAUGAGGAACAUGCCAAUUGUUAGGAAUCUCAGAUAUCUUAGGUGGAAUCUGGGUAGUUACAGGCCAUGCAAACUGGUAAUGAAUCAAUACUGGAAAUCUUUCUAAAAUGUUUAGGUAAGCUUUUCCAUAAACAAGGGGAACAAGUAUUUCUCUAAUACACAAUUUGAAAUUAUGUGGAUUUGGGAUACUAGUUUUCAAGCUUGGAAUACUGAUAAUCUAUCUAUAAUGGGUAUUUUUAGAGAUUAAAAGAGAAAGUGUUAUAAAUGAGCUAAUGUCAAUUACUGAUGAAAGUCUUUAAUUUUUUUUGCAUUACAUUUCCUUCCUGUAACUGUUCUCCUUUCUAAAACACAAUAGAUACUUUAUUUUUCUGUUCAAAAUUUUGAAUUUCUCUGCUCAAAAUUUUGAAUUUUUAAAACUGGUGUAGAUUUGUUAACAGAAAAUAAUGUGUAGUGUCUUUAUGAAUCAAUCUGACUUGUACAUGGGGAUUAUGUCACCUAGUUAGCCUGACACAGGCAUCCACCUUGCAGCUCAGCUUCAUUGUGUUCCAGUUCUGGGGCUGUGGUAACAAAUUAACAUCUUUUGGAAAAGGACUCAAGAGUAUAAGCCAACCUCCAGUACUGGCGGUGAGUGUGGCAGAGCCUAAGAAAACGAUGCUUCACAGACAGAAAAUAGAAGCUUGACAUAUUUUUAGACAGGAACACAUCAAGUUUGAUGGUGUCUUGGAAUGAUAAUACAAUCAAAUCUGUAUGGAAUCAGUAAAAAAAAUGAUGAGAAGUGUUCUGCCAUGCAAAAAUUUCUUACCUGAGAAGUAAAACUUGGUGAAUGUAAAUACUGGUUAACCUGUGUUGAAGAAAUAUAAUAUGCACAGGAUAGUUCGACUGUUGAUGGAGUCUGGGAGAUGUAAACAUUUUCAUUUUUUUAAUUUUGGGAGAUACACAGAGGUCUAAAGUAAUCUUUCAGAAAUGUUAGGGGUAUAUUCUUAACAGUUUUUUCUACCUUCAGAAUAGUGUUCAGUGUUCCUUUGCUUCCUGUGGACCCCUACUACCCCCCCCCCCCCCCGCCAAAAGAACUGAAAAAUACUUUUGUAGAAAAUAGUUUUAUAGAAUUACUUCCUACUUUAUCUGGAAGUAGUACAAAUGUACUACAAAUCUAAAUAUUUAAGAUUAUAAGAAUAUUGGGCCAUAUCAAUCAACAGUGUUCAGUAAUAGGAAAAAAGAAUAAUAACAAUUUUGUAGUUCAAACCUAAGACAGGCACAGUCACAGGGGGGCCAUCAGGUGAGAAAUUGGGGAUCAACAGAGGUGAGGCUUAGAACCUCACCCCCAAUGUUUUGAGAGAAAUCUUCUGCAUCCGUGGAUGUUUUGUUGCCCUUGUCUAGCUUGGAUUAAUACUUAGUCUAUAGGCACAGACCUGAUCAUCUACAUUUGCCCUCUUACAGCACUAAAUUAUGUUUUCUACCUUUAUCUCGUAUCUACCUACCACUUCAGCAUUUUAUUAAAAAAUAAUAAUAAUAAGGGAGAAAUGUGGGAUUCACAUAUAAAUCAAGUAUAAAAAUCAAAUGAAUAAUCAUAUCUGACUUGAUUGUUUAUAGUUCAGGAUGCGUGAUCAAAACCGAACGUUUCUGUGAUAUGACUGCCCUUGCACUGUUCACCAUGUAAUAACUUGUUCGUUAUGCUUCAGAAGAUUGGAGACUGUUGAGAAUUAGGCUUGGGGUUGAUUAAUGAUUGUGCAUUGAGUCCCCUAUACAGAAUUUUAUUGUUGUUAACAACCAUUUGAUCAAUAAAUAUGAGAGAUGCCCUCUCAAAAAAAAAAAGAAAAUUUUGUAGUUCAAUUCUCCCACCCCUGUGAUAAUACUAGACUCAACUAUUACUGAAAUUGAAGGCCAACAUUUAUCAGAAUGGAUCAAAGAACUUGGUUGUAAAAGUGGUGUGAGAACAGCUUUUGGCUUAGAAAAGAGUAUAGAGUCCUUAAUUUUCUUAGAACUUAAAUAGAAUUUCAAAAACAGUUACAUCAGGUAGGGGUAGUUUUACAUUGGGAGGGGAGGAAACAAUUGAAGUGGUAUUAUUGAAUAUUAAUAAAUUUUCUGUGGUUUUAAUGUCUUUUAGGCAGGCAGCUUGAGUUUGGACUUAGGCAGUUUAUUGUAUUUUUUAAAUGUUUUAGGUAUACAGUUACACUAUGUACUUUGAUCUUCAGGUAUCCAAAAUUAUUCUAAAAGUAGAAGUUUUUAAAAGGUCUGUGGGACUCCCUCCCUCAAUAAAAUCUGGCAAUAAAUUACUUUUUAAUAUUUAUUUGUUUUUUUUUUUUUUUUACAGUAACAGCUACAGGAUGAGGUAUAAAUAUUUCAGUGAAAAUUCUUGAUGGUUAUUUUAAAAAAGGAAGUUUCAUGUUUCAGCAUCUAGCAUUUUAAUGUCUCCUCUUAAAAAGUAAAGAGGGAAACAGAAGGUGCAUAAUCCAGCAUAGUUCCUCUGUGUAAAUACUCAAAAGUCAUAAAUAAUAUGCACAUGAGCAUCCCACAUACUUGCAGCAUAAGUGGAUUGAAAUAGGGUGUAUGUUUCUUCAGUAACCAGGUUAUUCUUUUCUGAAAUCUUGUUACUGCAGAAGAAUGGAAAAAGAGCAUAAGAUUUUAGGUGUCUUCUAUUUCAGUUUUUCUAACUGAUAUUUUCUUUAUCUUACUUUCUAAGAGUAUGUGUGUUUAAGAAGGAUACAUUGGCUUCCUCCUUUUCAGUUGGAUAGUUUGUACUUAAUAUUUACUAAAACCAAAGAAAAUGUUAUUUCCAUGCCUGAAAAUACAUCUUUUUAAACAUUAAUUCUGCAUUUAGUUCUUUUAGUAGCAUAAUUUGUGAUAUCAUCGUAUAUAUUAACUUAAAGGGUUUUUUAUUUUAGGUUAGAUGAUACUACUAAUUCUCUAAUUUAGGGCAGAAUCUGUAACAAAAAGUGGACUUUGGAAUUAGAAGACCUAACAAAGUUUGACCAUCUGUUUAAGUUCUCUACUAAGGAGUUGCUAUUAAAUAUAUUCUCCCUCUCAUUCAAAAAUAAUAUAUUAUUUUUUUGGUAGAGGGGUUUGUUGCUGGUAAUGACAGCAUGGCAGCACUGGAGAGAAAGUGGCCAAGCUUAGGUUUGUUAUGCUUGUUUCUUCUGUACUUGCCAGUAUUUAUUUUAUUAGUUCUCUUAUGGUGUGAAGAGAGUACUGAAAUCUAUUCCUUGUCUUAGCACUUGAGCUAUUUUAUAAUUAAGAUACUAUAUAAUCAAAUAUAAUACUUGUUUUAGCAACACUGAUUCUUCUAUGGAACCACUGCUUGUGAAGACAUUUCUCAUUGCUUUGUGUUUCACUUUCAGACAAAGACAAGACUUUUUUGAUGGGUAGCAAAUAUCCAGCCAAGUGGAUGAAUCCGUUUUCCACCUCCCCAGACCAUUUCUGUGACAGCCUCAGAUUUUGUUUCAGAUUUUAACAACUAAAGUUAAUGUAUGUGAUGAAUUUAGGAGUACGAGACUUCUUGGUUGUUGGCCAUAAAUUAAUACCAUCCACCGGGCUGUAAUAACAUAUAACUUGGUUUUAAACUAUGAAUAUUAAACCUGUAAAAUAAGGGUACUGUUAUGAAGGCCAUCCCCUGAUGAAAAAUGAGUAUCACAUUGUCCAUUAUCAAGCUUUUAAGAGGAAGUAUUGUUAAAACUAUUUCCCCAAUGUUUUCUCUAGAAACAUUAAAAAAAGAAAAAGCAGAAGAAAGAAAGAACAAACAUUAAAAAAAAGAACUUGUUACCUAAGAAUACUUUGUCUUCUGAGUUCAUUUUAUGGGUGUUUUUUUAUUAUUAUUAUUAUAAAGCUUUUUCAUACAUUGAUACUUCAUAGGUAUCAUAAUAGUUUUACCUAUAUCAUAAAAGUUAUCUUCUGAAAUCUUUGUGGCAUUGAGAGUGGGGUGAUUUAAAUACAGAUUUUAAUGUCAGAAAGCAUUCCUAUCUAACAAUUUUUUAAGUCAUGUUAAUUUCAAUAUUAAGUAAUUAUUCUCUGAAGCUUUGCACACAUAGCACUUAGCAUACAUAUUUCAGUAUGUAGUAUAUAUAUUUUAGUUACUAGUUUGCUCUACUUAUUAGCCUGAAAAAACAAGACAUUGGAAGUACAAAUAAUACUCGUUUGCUGUGAUGGUUAUUUGCUUAUAAAUAGUUAAAAUGUUACUAGUAGUGAUGCAGUACUUGGUUUAUAUUUUUAAUGGCAUUUAAAGGGUUUCCCUUGGUUACAAUAUAAUAUUCAUGGGGAGAAGUUCAGGAAAAUACAGCAAAAGUAUAAAGAAAAAAAUACCAUUAUUUAAAAGCAUCACUUGAACGCUGUUUUGCUCUGUCUCUUACUGCCUCUGUUUUUCUGUUUCUCCAACUCUAAGUGUGGAUGUAUGUAUGCACACAGCAAAACACAAAUUUAAAGGUUUAAAGAAGAUACUGCUUAAUAUUUUCUUGAUCUCAGAGGGAAUGAAAGGUUUAUAGUAAGUCUAAAACAAAAAGGCGAAACCAUGUUAAAAAUACAAACCGAUUUGACUACAUUUUUAAAAAAUGAAGUAAAAUUAAAAGGACAAGCUGGGAAAACAUUUCUUAUUAUAUCACUCUGUUUCAGUUUCCUUGUUUCUUGUUAGAAGUUGGAAAUGGAUUAUACCUAUACUUUUCCUCUUGGUAUAGUUUGUCUUAGCAAAGUAAGUUCUUGAGCUUUUGACAUGAAAAAUGUCAGAGCUAGGUUUUUUUCUUGUCUGUCAUUGUAGUGAUUAUUCUUAAGGUGAGAUUAGAAGCAAUGACCAUCUAGAAGUAAAAGCCCCAUUUUUGUUUUUACUUUCAACCAAUUUUACCUCUAAAACCUGUACCCAAACUGUUAUCAUUAAGUAAAAUAACUGAUAUUUUGUCAGUAGUGACUGGUGAAAUAAGCAUAAAAUGAGGAAUAAAGAGGAGUGCUAAAAUGAACAUAGUAAUUUGCAAAUGGAGUAAUCAACCCUUGACUAGUUGAGCAUUGGCUGUGUUCACACAGCCAUAAAAACGUGUACAGAAUGUGAGGCUGGUAACUUUUAGCAGUUGGCAUUAAAGAGCCAGUGUAGUGGUUCUGGGCUGCAUAAAGUUAAGUACGUUCCUUGGGCCCUCACUCAGUCUUGCCCUACCUGUUGCUGGGGUGUUGUGAAGAGCAAAUGUCAAAGUAUGUAAAAGCACUUUGUAAGCAGUCAACAGUUUUACAAAUAUAUGAAGGAUGAUUUUAAUUGUAGAUUUUAUCCUUAUGAAGAUCAAUGGUUCAAUAUUGCUGUAAGGUAAAAUCUUCAGAACAUGAGCAGCAGCUUAUAUUCCUCACUCUUCGGUCAUUCCCUUGUAAUUUCCUGUAAUUUUGUUUACAGAACAGAUCCUAAACCUUUUUCUAAAUGUGUGUUUUUACAAAACUGAUGAGAGAGCCCCCUCUAGUGUCUGAAGUAUCCAGUCAUAAAAAAAUUUGUGUCAAUCAUAGAAAGUUUUAGGAGUUAAACUAGCAGUUUUUUUCUUUCACAUCUGGACUUUUUUUUUUUUUUAGCGGGGAGGAAUGGUUAUUUUCCUUUUUUAAAAAGGUCACUGGAAUUAUGGGUAGACGUGGACUGUGAGGGCAGUAGAAAACAUGGGAAAGGAAGGAUCAAAUCCCAUUUUACCUUUUUAGAAAGUUAUUUUUAAAUGACCUGGAAUAAGGCCAAACUAUACAGUGUUUUGUUUUGUUUUAGGAAUUAAGUGCAGUUUAAAAAUAUAUUUUGUUUUGGAGUUCUUUAUGCCAUCAGACCUCAUUUUAAGGGAGUUCUUUCCACUUUUUGAAAGCAAUCGUUUCUUUGGAAAAUUGCUUGAAAAUAGAGACUGAUUCCCUUCUUUGUGGAAGUGUUCUAACUUUGUUUUCUUUGUUAUUAUUAUUGCCAUAUCUUUCUGUGGAUAUUUUAUAACUAUAUUGUGGGUGUAUUCUAAUGGCAAGUUGGUAUUUUACAUAAUUCCCCUUGUUUUCAACCAAGGAAAUAAGGAGAUUCUUAAAUUACUGACUUUCUGCAUGCAACCUCUCCCUCUAAACACACAGCACUCAAAAACACAGGCCUUCAGCUAAGAAUGUUGUGAAGGGUUUAGGGAAACCCUUUCUCACUUGACCAGGGGCUUUUGUAUUUUGAACAAGGAAAGUAGUGUUCUGAAAGCUACUACAUUUAGGAAAGCUCUAGCAAAAAUAUUUCAUAUACGUGGACCAGAGAUUAACUCCUUUCAUCUUGUUCUCCAACAAGUUAAACAGUGCAAAAAGACCUCAAACAGUGCAAAAAGAUCUUAAGUGCAUUCUUGGUAAUGAAAUGCUUGGGUGAAUUAUAAUCCUAAUUGCUAUUGUUCAUUCCCACUGCUGCAUUUUGACACUUCUAACUGCCUAAGCCACGCAUUUUUCAGCCUCUAGGAUAAACAAAAGCAUUCUGAAAUCCAUCAUUUUGCAGCAUCUUAAAUUGCAAAUCUGCUAUUGACUGCCUUUAUUUUAUUUUGGUUUUGUUG